rnacentral:ncRNA from 1 species
AAAGGGGUGCCUAUAUGGCUGAGAUGUAUACCCUUGGAACCUGAUACGGUUAAUACCGUCGCAGGGAUUGUCCU